AGGUCUGGGUUUAAUCCCUGCUACCAAAACAAAAGAAAAGACAAAAAAAAAAAAAAAAGAAGUGAGUGUUAACUUUUCAUAUAAAACCUUUGUGCAAAUCACUGCCUGUUUCUUUAGGACACUUUCCUGGAAACAGAAUUGCUGGGACAAAAUGGAGGCCUUUUUGAUUCAUUCGGCCUAAAGCAGGAAAGCUUUAGUCUUUUUUACAUUAUGAUAUUUCUGAAAACAGUCCUCAAUCUAGGCUGAUGGCACAGAUCUGGAUCAAAAUGCGUAAGGCAGCUCCACUGGGGCCAAGAUGGUGUGGUUUGGGGACUCAGCUCAUUAAUGCUUCCCUUCUUAGGCACAGUGAUAGCUCUGGUCCCUAGAGGGUGGAGGGGCUUUUAUUCCCUGCUGGCAGGUUUCCACUGAGCCCUGUGGUAUGCAGUGGACAGGCCUGGCCUGGUGGCCUCCUCCUGGAUAAGCCUGGAGAGCAGAAACAAGGGCUGGGAAGCUGAGAGCAGAACCUGUGACUCACUUCCCACCAAUCUGGGUUUGCCCUGUGAAAGCCAGAGGGGCCUGACCAGCCAGUGGCCUGCAUGAAAGGCCAAGCUGCCGUUCAGGAACAAGUCUGGAGGAGAGGUUUUGAAACAGCCAGAGUGGAGCCCCCGUGGCAGGCUUAAGCCUGGAGGAGGGCCCCACCUGAAGCAGAGAACAGCUGCUGCCCUGAAGCCAGGCGGCAAUGGCAUAGUCCAGAGAAAGAAAGCAGCUUUCCCUAAGAAAACAAAGCUAAAUUAUAUAAAUCAUAGAUAAGAGAAUUUAGCCUUGAGCAAUUAACUUGCUUCUGAGGAUGCCAAGAAGAGCUGGUUACCUAAUAUAAACUGGUAAGGGAACAAGAACACGUGCUAUAGUAAUUGAUAAACUGUAACUUGAGCAAAAGUCUAGAGGUGUUUACAAGGCGUGAAGUUUGAUGUAGUGAUUGGAGAAUUACUGCCUUGUGUUAAGUCAUGUGCUUGGUAGGAGGUGGGAUCCCAGCAAGACCGCCCCAAGGUGGGGUGACAGUUAAUUUCUGAAAUGGGAUGGCAAGCAUUCAGCUCACCCCUGCGUGGUAGCAAGUAAUUCGGGUAUAAAUGCAAUAGAACAGAAGGCCUUCCUCCUAAAUGUCUCCCCGCUUGGAACCAUCUAGCAGUCUGUGAACAGGCCAUUGCUCUUAAUACCAGCUCUGCAUGGAGCUGCUGCAGCUGAACCAGAAUCCACAACAUCAGAAAGGGGGUGAAGAAGAAAGGCCGCGUGCAGGUGCUUGAGGCAGUGGGCAGAGGGAACACGGUGAAUCUAAAGACCUCGCCUGUCCCAAUCACCUCCUUCCACUGGGACAGAGAGCAUCAAAGUCAAACAGGAUCUCUGUGGUCACGCUGCUGGAGAGUGAAGUCAGGACUUGCCCUGGGGCAUGGGAAACGGGCAUGGAAGGAGAGGUGGCUGAUGAGAAAACUAUUCCCAGGCCACUGCGGGCCAACAGGGAGCAAUUUGGAAGAAGAGUGUUCAGAUCUCCUGGAAACAAGGAUCUUGUUUACUGCGGGUCCUCAGCGCGUAGAACCGGCGGGCCCAUUGAUAUCUUCCAUGGACAUUCUUUGAAUAGUGUUAAUUUACAAUUACCUUUAAGAACUUGAGUGCUUAAAAGACCAAAGCCAAAAACUGAAGGCUGGGAGUGACAAAUUUUGAGGAUGUGUUACUUGCAUUCUGUGCUUUUCUCUUUAAGUUUCUAUCUCCCUUCCUGCGGACCCAUACCUAUAUCCGAUUACGAUAAAGCCUCAUUGUUUCACCUAUCCAAGCAUUCUUUCCUUUAAAGGAAUUUUCAAACUCAAACAUCCAUGUAAUCCAUUUUUAUUGCGGCCCAGCAUGGGCUAGCAUGUUGAGGCACUGAGUUUCUCCAACUCAGAAUUUAUGUUGCAAAAUAUCCAGCAAAGGAUUUGUGUCCAAAAUAGAUGAACAUUUCAAAUCCUUAGGAGAAAACCGUGAAAGACAUCUGCUCAUUGGCGGAAACCUCCAAAACUGGGCCAAAAUAAACCUUUAUAAGUUGAUGUGUU